CACGUAGGGCGCAAGCGUUGUCCGGAAUUAUUGGGCGUAAAGAGCUCGUAGGCGGUCUGUUGCGUCCGCUGUGAAAACUCGGGGCUUAACCCCGAGCCUGCAGUGGAUACGGGCAGACUAGAGGUAGGUAGGGGAGAAUGGAAUUCCCGGUGUAGCGGUGGAAUGCGUAGAGAUCCGGAAGAACACCGGUGGCGAAGGCGGUCUGCUGGGCAGUUGCUGACACUGAGGCGCGACAGCGUGGGGAGCAAACAGG
rnacentral:rRNA from 1 species